rnacentral:lncRNA from 1 species
GACUAUGACGUCACGCGUCCCCACGUCUAUAUUCAGCAAUGGGCGGGGCUCCAAGUGUCCACGCUCUGAGGAGAGUUGGCGACAGGUCCUAGGCCGUGAGUUAACACUGGGGAUUUGGACCCAGGACUUUGUCCUGUGUGACAGCCAAGCACUCUACUACUGAGCUACACUCCCUGCCCAACCUCAAGUACUUCGUUAAUGUCUUCAGAAGAUUGGCCUGCUUUGGAAUAUCAAAUACCUCCUCUUUGGAGGGGAAGGAAGAUGAAAGCAAUGACAUCCACACUCCCCCAGAGCAUCUCCCCAGCACAGCCUGAGCUCUUGCAAUGGGGUUUUGUCGGGAGAGCUCAUCACCUGGAGUGGUCAGGGAGGGCUCAGUCACUGUGCGGUCACUGGGGGAGAAGACCUCGUGGCUUCAGCCUAGCCUGCUGAGGAAGCUCUUGGAGUCAGGGUGUCAGAGGGCUGAGACCCCACAGGAAGUGCAGAGCCGGAUGGGAAGGAGAGGUGACCACAUCCUGCAUUUCUCUGUGGUUCCCCCAGGAACCAGUACUAGGAAUUGAGCUCAGGACCUUGUGCUUGCCAGCAGCAGGCCAGAGUUUGAUUCCUGGCACACCCCUACCCCCAUUGCAGUAAUUAUGAGGCUAAUGGUUGCCAUAUUGGCCAAUGCAGUUCCAAUAAAUCCACCCCUCAGCACCCUCCAUGGAGAACACACAAGGAAAGGUCAUCCCGAGGUCAAACAGGUGCGGUGCAUGGAGGCCCAGGCCUGUAACUCUAGCACCCUGGAGGCUGAGGCAGGAGGAUCCUCAUGAGUUUGAGGCCAGCCUGGGCUACGUAGUGAAUACAAGGCUAGUCUGAACUACAUAGAGACCUUGUCUCAACAAAACAAAACAAAAACCAAGGUCAAGCAGUGGGCGUGUCAGAGGCCAUGUCUUACUUGAGCCAGGUAGGGCCUUUUGGUGGACACAAAGGUGAGAGGUCG